GGGAAAGGAGGUGUUUCAUUCAGGUGCCAAGGAGGACAAGCGAAGGGCUCUUCCAGACCUGUUAAAAGACAAUUUUAACUGGAAGGAGACCUGAAUGAACCAGCAAACAACUAUCCGGUCCGAAUGAGAACACAAGCGUCUAAACCCAAUUAGAUGGCAUAACAGGAAUAAAACUGCUAAACUCCAUCUUCAGAAACAUGUCGAGAAACUGCAAUUCCUAUUAAGAACACUUGACUGUUUACUCAGCAAGAGAACUCCAGGCUCUGACUGC